UUAAAAUUUUACCCCUCCUUGCAAAUGUACAGACCAGUACUGUACAUGGAAUUUUUGUACAAUAAAAAAUAUAUUGUCACUAUUUAUUUUUUAUUGUACCAAAAAUCCUCCAUGUACAGUACUGGUCUGUACAUUUGCAAGGAGGGGUAAAAUUUUAAC
rnacentral:sRNA from 1 species